GAACUUUGGGGAACUCUAUUCUACAACAAUAAUGACAUGGAAGAGUUAAAAUUGGAUGUGUGGGUCAGUGUCACACGGGCCUGAGGAACUUUCACUGAGUCACCCCAGCGGUAGAGACAGAGAAGAAAUGCAGGUUUUUGCCACUUCAGAGAAGGGAGGGGCAUGGAAAAGGGGCAUGGCUGCAUGGAAAAGUCUGGAUACCAAAGCAAUCUUUGAGAUUGAGAGGAGAAUUUGGCAUGAGUUUUAUAUACAAGUGUGUAUACAAUCAAGUGUGGACAUGGAAGGCUCAAUGAAUGCCUGCACAGAGCCCAGACAUCACAAAGACUUAGGUAUAUCCUUCAGCCUUCAAAAAGGAAAGGAAGUAAGAAUUUUCAAGGACAGGCAUAUCCUUUUUUCUCUGGACCCCUGGAGAUUCAGACCAGGAGCCCUAUUAGGAUGAGGGCUUUUGGAGAGGUAGGAAGAGAGAAGAUGUGACUUGAAAAUAGAUGAUAUCCAGAGGAGUCAAAUACCCAACUGUUCAUAACUCAAGCCAGCAGGAAAUCUGGAAUUUCUUACAGCAUUCAGAGUAGGAGCCAGUUGGGCAGCGACACAAAAGUCAAGAGGUGAACAUCAUCUCUAGGACAAGAGUCACGCCUAGGAAUGGGCAUGCCAGCCCUCAAGACAUCACAGUUCACAGAAAGCCACAGGCCCCAGGAUGCAACAUUGACUUGGGUCUCAUGACUAUUUUGCGUCUAGUGAUGAUAACUUUACCACUACCUAAUGCAACUUGGGAAAAUCAAGUGUUCUUCUUGUGUCUUAAAUGAGAUAUAGGAGCAGAUGAUCUACAAAGUCCCUAAAGAUUUAAGAUUUUAACAUACAAUCACAGAAAGGAUGCUUCCUAAGUGGAGAAUGAGGAGGUGAAGAGAUGUAGUGAAGGGAAAAAGUGGAGAAGUGUAGAAAGUAGAGACAUGAAGCAUAGAAAGGAGAGAAGGUAGUGAAGAUGAAUUUGGUGUGUGAUCAGAUUUACAGUUGAAUGUUCUUUAGGAGAGCAUUAUGUUAGGAAUCAAAACACAGUUUUUUAAUAAAUCCAGCACUAUGAGUUUUUCUUUCUGAAGCAGUCUUCACACUGGGGGGCAUCACAUAAAUAGAUGUUUCUUAUUUAGGGGCAAUGAUACAUGCAAGAUAUGUACCACGGCGUUUCCAAUACAGUUGUACUCCAUACAUCAGGGUGCUUACCUUAUGAGAAAAAUCCAUUCUCCUGAGUCCAGGUGAAGGGACAUAUCUCAUCUCACCUUAUGAGAAAAAUCUAUGCUCCUGAGUCCAGGUGAAGGGACAUAGCUCCCAGAAUUUAGGUAGUGGACGUAUAGAAUUUAAUGUACCUUCCAGAGGGUGAAAAAUGUGUCAACUCUUACUUAGGAAAGGUUUUCUUUAUCCUUCAGGAGUGACUUUCUUUGACUCAAUGGGUUUACCUGAAGUCUUGCUUACCUAUUCAUUUGUCAUUGUCUCCUGCCAAACAUCCCUGGUCUUGUUGAAAACUUGAAAGUAUUAAUGACAGCAUAAUAUAGUAUCUCAUGUUGAUUUCCAUAGUUAUUCUUUCAAAAGAAGGACUAUACCUAUGAAAAUUUUUUCAUGCAUAUUCUUUAAAUGUUAUGGCAAGAGAACUUUGUUUUUGCUGGUGAAGAUCUGCUCAAUUAUUCAAAUAGCAUAUUGGGUUACAUGUUCAAAGCAGUGUGAGAGGAGUAGAGUCUUGGAACUGACAUUUCAUUACUUGAUACUAAAAUGGGAACAGUCACAACCUCUACCAGACUGAACUUCAUAUUGUCAUCAUAAGUCUUCCUUAAGAGUCGAGAUUGCCUGUGACACCUAUUUACCGAGUGUGAUCUGAUUGUAUGGUGCUAUAAUAUUGAAUUAUUUUGUGCCCAAAAUGUAGUAACAAGCAUGUGACCAUUGUUCCACAAUUAAUUCUGUAACAUUUUGAGAGCUGCUAAAGGAUUUUUUAAUAAAAUAUUUGGCUUUUUGUGCUUUCCAAACAAUAUAAUCAAACAUUUUUAAAAUGAUAUAGUAAAGCUCUAAAGAAUCAGUUUUAGGGGCAUCUGGGUG